rnacentral:rRNA from 1 species
AGUGAACGCUGGCGGUAGGCCUAACACAUGCAAGUCGAACGGCAGCACAGUAAGAGCUUGCUCUUACGGGUGGCGAGUGGCGGACGGGUGAGGAAUACAUCGGAAUCUACUUUUUCGUGGGGGAUAACGUAGGGAAACUUACGCUAAUACCGCAUACGACCUACGGGUGAAAGCAGGGGAUCUUCGGACCUUGCGCGAUUGAAUGAGCCGAUGUCGGAUUAGCUAGUUGGCGGGGUAAAGGCCCACCAAGGCGACGAUCCGUAGCUGGUCUGAGAGGAUGAUCAGCCAACCUGAACCUGAGACACGUUCCAGGUCCCCACGGGAGGCAGCAGUGGGGAAUUUUGGACAAGGGGGGCAAGCCUGAUCCAGCCAUCCCGGGGGGGUAAAGAAGGCCUUCGGUUUGUAAAGCCCUUUUGUUGGGAAAAAAAAGCAGCAGGUUAACCCCCCGCUGUUCUGACGGUACCCAAAAAAGAAGCCCCGGCUAACUUCGU